rnacentral:rRNA from 1 species
UACGUAGGGUGCAAGCGUUAAUCGGAAUUACUGGGCGUAAAGCGUGCGCAGGCGGUUAUGCAAGACAGAUGUGAAAUCCCCGGGCUCAACCUGGGAACUGCAUUUGUGACUGUAUAGCUAGAGUACGGUAGAGGGAGGUAGAAUUUCCUGUGUAGCGGUGAAAUGCGUAGAUAUAGGAAGGAAUACCAGUGGCGAAGGCGGCCUCCUGGAUCGAUACUGACGCUGAGGCGCGAAAGCGUGGGGAGCAAACAGG